UCUCUCAAAAAUGAACAAACAUUAAAAAAUAUUUUAAAAUGUUCACAAAUGAACAAAAGGGGGUAAUGUUAAUUACAUAUAUCGUUUUCUCUUUGGAAUCGACUGCUAACCCCUAAGAACAGCUUCUCUAUCAAACACCGUCAAACUUUGCAGAAUUUCUACAAACCACAAUCUGUUUACCUUUCUCCAGAAACAAAAGUGACAGAACAGUUAAUAUCUGCUUGUCCUAAGCUUAAAGUCCAAAUUGUAAUAUUUAUUCUGACUAACCUUCAGAGAAUGACAAAGGAAUCUUUCAGCGCAAAGGGAAAAAUUUAACCAAUGACAACAGUCUGUGACAACAGGCUACAUUUAAGAGAAAAAGAGAUGAAUCCAGAAACAGCUGGUUUUGCUCUUCUGGAACUAGAAAUGGUCUUUUUAUCCUAGUAGCAUCAGAAUAACCUUCCGUGGAUGUGUAAACAGCACCAGUGACUCUGCCUACCACAGAACCCAGGAUGCCAAGCACCGUGGGUGUUUCAAAACUGUUUUGAAACUUACCACCCACACUAGGCCACCUCCCUGCGCCCAGUCAAUUUCAACAGAGGCCUGGUGGUGCAAUGUUGAUAUUCCCCUGGCAGAAACUCCUUUCCAGAAGCUAUAGGAUGGGGCAGGCUUCUUAGGCGCAGAUUCCCCACACUGUGAUUUGAUAGUGCGUGGCACACUUGUAAAUAAAUACAUUUCAUUCGAAAAUUCACUUUCAGCACAACAUUUUGCCAGGCCAUACGUUUUCUCACGGGCUCCUUCCCCCCACAUCAUGCCUCUGAUACUGCUUGCUACAAACGCCCAUGGAAGUGUGGAUUUUACGACCGGUGCUUUGUUCUGUUUCAUUUAAAAUGAUCAUUGGACCGUUUCCACCCCCAGCCUGAUUUCUUUCAGGGCUGAUCAGAUGUCUGUAGAGAUCUGCGCCUGUGGACUCCUGUUAAUCUGUUAAUUGAGUUAGACCUUCACUUGGCUCUAUCCUGUGUCUCACAGUGAAACACUGGCUGCAAUGAGGUUUGUGCUGGUUGAAAACAUGAGAGCUGAUGAAUUACAGCUAGAAUGUGACAUUGACCACAGUUAGUCAUCAAAGGGGGAGGCACUGCUCACUCUCAGACCUGCAGAGCUCACAGAACGGGCCCCCGGGGGGCUUGGGAGCAUUGGUGACCUGCAGUCAGCGUCCCCUUCUUCUGGAAGCCUUGACACACAGCACGUAAUGCGGGGCUGAGGGGCAUGACUCAGCACCCUGGCUCCACUCCUGGGAGGCUCUCUCCAUCCCCCAGGACUGCAGUUUCAAUGCUAUCCUCUGUGACUCAGCUGUCACCACCUCUUUGGGCAAGUUCCACUGCAGGUUUUGUGGGCCAGCGCUCUUGACCGAGAUGCAAAGGCCUUAUCAGCCAAGCAGAUGGCUGGACCAGCUGCCACUUCCCAGGGAGACCAGGAGUUUCCCCCUGGGUCAGCAGGGAGGGGUUUCCUGCGAGGAUCCCACGUGCCAAGUCCUCGGGGAUGCAAGACAUUCUGAGGAUGUGACUUACACGGGGAAGCUCACCAGGACUUCUCCGAUUCGAUAUAAAUAACUCUGCACUGGCAGAUGGGGCGCGAGCCAAGUAGUAAUGAAUACUAGGACAAACAAACAGGCCUCCGGGAUGCCGGCCCAGCCGCUCCAAACCACAGUUGGCAACAGGUUUGGAGGUGGCAGUGGGCGAACAUCGUACCAGCAACACUGCAGUAAUCCUCGGGAGCGAACGCAGGGAAGCUCUCUCCAGAACGUGCCCUGCUUGAGAGACAGCAAGAGUCAUGAGACCGCCCCGGCCCGCCUUUGGCAAACAAGAGUCUAUAAUUAUGCAGACGUGCAUGGGAGCAGAAGGAAAUCCUGGAUUGCGUCUAGCAGUAUCGUAUGCUGCACAACGAAUCCUGUAUAGGAAGGACAGAAAAACGCCUCGCCGAGACCUGUGGGUAAAGAUUUGAAAAGGAGGAAGGAGCAACCCAUGAGAAUAUUGAAGGGGAAGACCACUGCGGACAAAGAGAACAGCAAAUACCGCGGCUCAGAGGUGAGAAAGCUGAGACUGGACAGCGGAGUGUCUUGUCCCAAAUCACCUCGCUCUUUAGUGGUGAAGCUGGAAUUCAGUUUCGAGUUUCUGAAAGCUUAUAUUGGACUGCCUUCAUAUAAUAUCUUCCACAGCCAUCCUGACAGAUUUCCCUUGACCCAUCUAGUUCCUUUUCCUCACCCCAACCUUUGCCUCACAAGAAGACCAGCUCAGGUUUAGGUAUAGAGACAAAUAUCUAAUGGUCCAGACCCGUUUCAACGUUACCACAUGUUGUUUUUGGCCACUAGGUGGAAAUACGCCUAUUUUCUCUCCUCCAAAAGAUCUUGAGCUUUUUAACAAACACAUUUUCGAAUUCAUUUCCCCUCUUUGGGCCCCCCAGGUCCAAAUGCCUAUAGGAGCCAGAAUCACAUUAAUAGUGAGUUAACACACACAGAACUGGG